CCUGGGGAAAGGGACUGUGUGGGUUCAAGAAGUACGAUGUUCCAGAAGACCGAUGUGGCUGAAACGGAUGGAGGGAGAGCGAGACAAAGGGAGCGUAAGUCAGGCUCUGACCUUGCGGGGUCCAGACAGGACAAUGGAAAGCUGGGGACUUCGGAGCCAGCCAUCGAUCGACACGAUCCCACUGAUAGAAAGAUCCCUUUGACUGCUGUGUACAACACAGAUUUUUACGGUUGUGCAGACGGGAAGACCAAUGAGGGGACUGUUGUACUAGUUUUAGGGGAGGGAUGAGAGUGUUUGAGCCAGCUGAUGGCAGUGAGUGGAUUUCAUUUAGGAGAUGAAACUGUCAAGACUUGAACAAGGAAAAGAGAUGUAUCAAAGAUUCUUCCAGAUUUCUGGCAAGAACGGCUCGGUUUGGGGGUGGGGGAGAAGGGAAUGACCAUGAGUUCCAUUUGGACAUGUUGAGUUUGAGGUGCUUUUGAGACAUACGAAAAAUAAAGUCAAGUCCGUGCUUCGAUGGGGAGGACUAGAGCUCAGAGCAGAGGCUAAACUGGCAAAGACACAGAACUACCAGCUGGAAAGGCAGGGGGAGCAGAGGCAGCACAGAACCCAAGAUGAGGAGUGUCUAAGGAGGAUGUGGGCAACUGCGUGAGAUGCUUUCGAGAGGUCUAAUUAGAAGGUAACUGAAGGAAGUUCAUUAGGUGUAGCUGUCUUUAACUCAUCCAGGCAAUUUGGGUAGAAUGGUAGGCAGGAAACCUAGAUGCAGUGAAUUGAGGAAUGGCUGGGAAAUGGACACAUGGAGACCUUGAGAGUAUCUGAUUCUUCCCAGUUGGUGGACUGGAAAAAUAAAAAAGCAGGGAACAUGGGAUUGAGAGACGUUUUUUUCUUUUAGGCUGGAAGAAGCUUGAGCCUGUUUAAAUGCUGAAAGAAAGGCUUAAUAGAGAAGAGCUGAUGAUUUAGAAGGAGGAAGUGGGAGGCAGCCUAGGACUGGGAUAAUGACUUAUCAUCUUGCUCUCCUACCAACACAGCUCCAUGUGGCCCAAGAUGACUGCUUGAGCUCCAGCCAUUUUGUCUGAGUUCAGCAAGCAGGAAGGAAAGAGGAAGGAGACCUUUAGAAGUUCCGCGUGGCACUUUUCCUUACAUCUCAUUGGCUAUAACCUAACUUGUACCACAUCGAGUUGAAAGGGAGGUCAGGAAAUGUAGUCUUUGGACUGAGCUACAAUGUGCCCAACUACAAACAGUUUCUGUUCCUAAAGAAGGUUUGAGAAAUGGAUACCAGGAAGCUAUGAGCAGUCUUUUCUGCCAUGAAGGGGUUUGGGAGGGACCAAGUGGUUUGUCUGUUGAAGAAGAGUCUGGAAAGAAUCAGGAUUUGGAGCCCAACGCACUGCAUUCUAAUCUUGGCCCAUAUCCUGUCACCUGUAUGACCUUGAAUAAGCUGCCUCCCCUCCCUGAGCCUCAGGAGCCUCCUCUGUAUAAUGGGAGUGAGAAUCUACCCGGCAGAAAAACUGCAAAUAUUAAAUGCGAUGCCAUGGAAAUGCCUGAGCUGUGGUAGGCGCUGAUGUUUGUUACAUUCAGAUCUUUUUUUUUUUUUCAAGAUAAUAAACACAUUGAGCACCUACUGUAUGCCGGACACUUGCUGGAUGCUUCUUCACCAUACACUUACUUAUUUCUCACUCCAACCUGGUGAGAUAGGUAUUAUAAUUAUCUUUAUUUUAUAAAGCAGGAAAUUCCAGUUCACGAAGUCACCCAACAAAUAAAUUUCGGGAUUUGAACCUA